AUUGAACGCUGGCGGCAGGCCUAACACAUGCAAGUCGAACGAGUGGCGGACGGGUGAGUAAUGUCUGGGAAACUGCCCGAUGGAGGGGGAUAACUACUGGAAACGGUAGAUAAUACCGCAUACCAUCGGAUGUGCCCAGAUGGGAUUAGCUAGUAGGGGGGGUAACGGCGCACCUAGGCGACUAGCCCUAGCUGGUCUGAGAGGAUGACCAGCAACACUGGAACUGAACCACGGUCCAGACUACUACGGUAGGCAGCGGUGGGGAAGAUUGCACAAUGGGCGCAAGCCUGAUGCAGCCAUGCCGCGUGGAUUAAGAAGGCCUUGGGGUUGGAAUGUACUUUCAGCGAGGAGGCGUUACCUGAAGAAGAAGCCUCGGCUAACCCCGUGCCAGCAGCCGCGGUAAUAC
rnacentral:rRNA from 1 species